ACCCCGGGACGCCUGUCGGCUCGCCGAUGCCCCGUGAGGGGCCCGUGUCUGGCCGGGACAGUGGGGACGGCGGCUGAACUGUCGGCGCCCCCUUCGCCCUCCGUCUCUAACUGGAUUCCGCCAGCCUUGUCUGGAGUGGCAGAGGCCCUGCACCCAGAGCAUCUCACUGGAAGCUCCGAGCCACCAUUAACCGAGAGGCAAAAACCACAUGCACGCAAAGCACCCUCGCAAACCCCCAGGAAGGCACUGCAUCAGGGAGGACCCUGACGAGGAGACUGAGGCCCAACGCUCAGAUCGCAGGCUGUGAGCAGAGGCUGGCCCCGGAGCCCCUUGAAAGAGCAACGACAUUUCCUCAGCUGCCAGGCUGCUCGCCAGCCUGUUUAGUCAGCUUCCACAGUCCCGG